rnacentral:tRNA from 1 species
GGAGAGCUAGGCUAAUGGUAAGUCACCGGUCUUGAAAACCGGCAUCCGAAAGGAUUUGGGGGUUCGAGUCCCUCGCUCUCCG